rnacentral:rRNA from 1 species
GAUGAACGCUGGCGGCGUGCCUAAUACAUGCAAGUCGAGCGAACAGACGAGGAGCUUGCUCCUCUGACGUUAGCGGCGGACGGGUGAGUAACACGUGGAUAACCUACCUAUAAGACUGGGAUAACUUCGGGAAACCGGAGCUAAUACCGGAUAACAUGUUGAACCGCAUGGUUCAACAGUGAAAGACGGUCUUGCUGUCACUUAUAGAUGGAUCCGCGCCGCAUUAGCUAGUUGGUAAGGUAACGGCUUACCAAGGCAACGAUGCGUAGCCGACCUGAGAGGGUGAUCGGCCACACUGGAACUGAGACACGGUCCAGACUCCUACGGGAGGCAGCAGUAGGGAAUCUUCCGCAAUGGGCGAAAUCCUGACGGAGCAACGCCGCGUGAGUGAAGAAGGUCUUCGGAUCGAAAAACUCUGUUAUUAGGGAAGAACAAAUGUGUAAGUAACUAUGCACGUCUUGACGGUACCUAAUCAGAAAGCCACGGCUAACUACGUG